GUCUACGGCCAUACUAUCCUGAACACGCCCGAUCUCGUCUGAUCUCGGAAGCUAAGCAGGGUCAGGCCUGGUUAGUACUUGAAUGGGAGACCGCCUGGGAAUACCGGGUGCCGUAGGCU
rnacentral:rRNA from 1 species